rnacentral:rRNA from 1 species
UGGGGAAUAUUGGACAAUGGGCGCAAGCCUGACCCAGCAACGCCGCGUGAAGGAUGAAGUAUUUCGGUAUGUAAACUUCGAAAGAAUAGGAAGAAUAAAUGACGGUACUAUUUAUAAGGUCCGGCUAACUACGUGCCAGCAGCCGCGGUAAUACGUAGGGACCAAGCGUUGUUCGGAUUUACUGGGCGUAAAGGGCGCGUAGGCGGCAUGACAAGUCACUUGUGAAAUCUCUGGGCUUAACCCAGAACGGCCAAGUGAUACUGUCGCGCUAGAGUGCAGAAGGGGCAAUCGGAAUUCUUGGUGUAGCGGUGAAAUGCGUAGAUAUCAAGAGGAACACCUGAGGUGAAGACGGGUUGCUGGGCUGACACUGACGCUGAGGCGCGAAAGCCAGGGGAGCAAACGGGAUUAGAUACCCCAGUAGUCCCUGAGCGGGCUGGCAAGGCGCAU